AAGCAUCACAGAGGCUUACGGUCCAGCCAUCGUUGACCCAUGGCAAAACCUUGUUUAGGCUUAUCAGGCAAAUGAAAAAGGAUCAACCUUUAAUGUGGCAAAAGUCAAGUUGUUGUCAUACAUAACUGUAAAUCUGCGCAAAAGAGAGACAAGACAAUGCAUAAUUCCCAUCAGAUCAGAUAAACGCAAAAAUUAACACCAACUGAAAUGUGCAUCAUGUGAAACAAAGUAGACGGCUUAACCCCGCAGCCUGGCCAUCAAGAUGCCAUGCUCUCCAGUCAUCAAUAAUGGUGAAGUUUAAGGAUCUUAUCCAUGCCUGAGUGCCCAGAAAUGGCACCAUGAGAUCAUGGUCACCGCUACACCAAGAGAGUUGAUAAUAAUUGUAAGACGUAGAAUAAGAUUCAAGCUGUAUAUAUAGACAUAAUUUUUGUGUGAUGCUUUCACCAGAAUACAAGCGCCCGGUAACCUCUUGUGGUGAGGUUAAGAUGGUACUGUAUGGUGCUUGGAACGUCCCUAGCAUAGGGGAAUACUUCGGUAUUGCAUCUUGUCCACACACCGACCGUUCCCUAUUUCAUGGUUGUGUCAUCAAAUUAGCUGAAUAAUUCUACUUGCUUAGCAAUCUAGCUAUCCCUAUGCAUAAAGGUAGAAGAAAUCACAAAGGUUACCUUCUUGAUUUUAAGAGCAUCUCUGGUUGCCUUGUCAUUCAUCCAUAUGUUCAAUAGGUAGAACCGGUAUGACUACAUUUUAGAAAGAAAUGCGAAACAGCAUUACAAAAACAGGGAGAUGAACCCUAUGACUAUGAGCAUCUGCUUCGGAAAAAAAAAUCUUCCAUCGGAAUAACACUCAAGGGAUUAAUAAUACUUACAAAACAAUUGAUAGUAGGUCGAGCAGUUGGCUCACUUAGCCGACUGUAUUCUUCUAGUAGAGCCCUACUUGAAACACCAUUUAUGGGUUUGGGUAUUAAACGACCAGCACAUUUAUCAAGCAAGAUAUCUCCAUUGUCUAGUUCAGACAUGAGCUGCAACACAGGGAUGUGCAUCAGUAAGAUACUAGCUGGAUUUUAGUAAUCUUAAAUAACUAGGCCAGUGCAAGAAUCUUACGUUAUCAACAGCAUUUAGGACAUUCGCACAGAUUUCAUUUGUUGGAUUGACAUAAUCUCCUUUGCAGUUCGCUACCGCAGCCUUAAAAGAGGAAAAGGGAAAUGCUAGAGUUGUAACACACCACACUAUCGAAGCUCAUAAAUAUGGAAUUACCUCGUAUAGCUGAUCAGAUAUGAUUCCAACGCCAUGAGCAUAUGGAAUUAUGGAAUUACGAUCAUACUUUGGGUCUGUCAAGGGGCUGCCAACCAUAUAACCCUGUAAAUAUUUUCUUAUAUAAGCACAAGAAAGAAAAAAAAUACAUGAAGGUACACUACUAGAAUUCCUUAACCAAAAGAAAUUUGUUUGAAGGAUACAGAAUGGCAUGCCUUAAGCUUAAUUAAUGGUUGCUGCCUUUGUUCAAUUCCUGGAGAAUAGGUAAGUGAUCAAGACAAGGAAAGGAACAAGCUACCCGAUUAGAAUUUAUGAUGAAACAUAAGCAACUGCAAACAUUAAUCAAUUUUGUCCAAGUUAAACAGUUGAAAAUGUAGUGAAUUUGUCAAUCUGAAACACCAUUUGAAUUUUGAAACUAGUUCAAACUUCUUGUAACUUGUAAGAACACUUUUAUACUAAAAAAAUAAAAACAAUAACAGCUCUAACAAACACAUAUGGUAAAGACGAUUUACUACAAAUUAUCUUAUCAUCUAUUCCCUUUUAGUUCGGGCCCACACCUCACCAAUCCCAAGGAGGCAAACAAGUAAUUUUACCCCUCUCCUUAAUUGCUAUGCCAAGGGCUAAAACUUGCUAUAUUUUAGGAUAAAGGGAGUAAUUUAUUUGAGAAUAUGUGAAAUAUAUCAUAGAUUACCUUCUGAAAUGUAUUGUGCAAUAAGUGGAAUCACCUUUCCAGCAUAUGAGCUUCCCCCAACAUAGAAAUGAUUUGAGAGAUAGCUUGGGUGAUCAUUGAACCACUACACUAAAAUGUGACGACUUGCAAAGAGGAUGAUAUAUCCCCAACAUUAUAACCUUUGGGAUCACGCGCAUAUGAGAAACCAGACCCAACAGGAGUGUCCAAGAAGAUGAUGCUAGCUAUCUGUGUCUCUGCAAGGGAUCACCCUUUAGCCAGUUGCCACAGCAAUUAGUAAUGAGUGACCAGUGAAAUACUAACCUACUUCAAAGACGAGAGCGGUGAAUCCAGAGCAAAGGGGUCCACCUGUCAGCCAGAGGAUGACAGGGUCUGUACUAGGACUCCUCUCCGAUUCAACGAAGUAGUAGAAUAGCUCAGUGCCGGUCUCCUCAUCCACACUAACAUACCUGUGUAUGCACAUGUACAUGCACUACCAAUUAAGGCACAAUUAAGGGACAUACUUAACCCAAACCAUCCCUUACCCAGUCUCAAGGUAGAACCGCAAGCGGCCGUGGAAGCCCGGGAGGUGGGUGAUCACCGACGACGACGCCGAGCACGGCAGCAGCAGCAGCAGCAGCAGGAGGAAGAGGAUGCAGGUGCGCAGCGGC
rnacentral:sRNA from 1 species